rnacentral:rRNA from 1 species
UACGGGGGGGGCAAGCGUUGUUCGGAAUUACUGGGCGUAAAGGGCUUGUAGGUGGCCAACUAAGUCAGACGUGAAAUCCCUCGGCUUAACCGGGGAACUGCGUCUGAUACUGGAUGGCUUGAGGUUGGGAGAGGGAUGCGGAAUUCCAGGUGUAGCGGUGAAAUGCGUAGAUAUCUGGAGGAACACCGGUGGCGAAGGCGGCAUCCUGGACCAAUUCUGACGCUGAGGAGCGAAAGCCAGGGGAGCAAACAGG